CCUACGGGGUGCUGCAGUGAGGAAUAUUGGUCAAUGGACGAGAGUCUGAACCAGCCAAGUAGCGUGAAGGAUGACUGCCCUAUGGGUUGUAAACUUCUUUUAUAUGGGAAUAAAAUGUUCCAUGUGUGGGAUUUUGUCUGUACCAUAUGAAUAAGGAUCGGCUAACUCCGUGCCAGCAGCCGCGGUAAUACGGAGGAUCCGAGCGUUAUCCGGAUUUAUUGGGUGUAAAGGGAGCGUAGGUGGAUUGUUAAGUCAGUUGUGAAAGUUUGCGGCUCAACCGUAAAAUUGCAGUUGAAACUGGCAGUCUUGAGUACAGUAGAGGUGGGCGGAAUUCGUGGUGUAGCGGUGAAAUGCUUAGAUAUCACGAAGAACUCCGAUUGCGAAGGCAGUUCACUGGACUGCAACUGACACUGAGGCUCGAAAGUGUGGGUAUCAAACAGGAUUAGAUACCCGGGUAGUC
rnacentral:rRNA from 1 species